CUCCUUCGGAGUCCGCAUUGUAAUUUGCAGAGGAUGCUUUGGGUGCGGCCCCCGUCUAAGUGCCCUGGAACGGGCCGUCAGAGAGGGUGAGAAUCCCGUCUUGGGCGGGGUGUCCGUGCCCGUGUAAAGCUCCUUCGACGAGUCGAGUUGUUUGGGAAUGCAGCUCUAAAUGGGUGGUAAAUUUCAUCUAAAGCUAAAUACUGGCCGGAGACCGAUAGCGCACAAGUAGAGUGAUCGAAAGAUGAAAAGCACUUUGAAAAGAGAGUUAAACAGCACGUGAAAUUGUUGAAAGGGAAGCGCUUGCAACCAGACUCGCCCGCGGGGUUCAGCCGGCAUUCGUGCCGGUGUACUUCCCCGUGGGCGGGCCAGCGUCGGUUUGGGCGGCCGGUCAAAGGCCCCUGGAAUGUAGUGCCCUCCGGGGCACCUUAUAGCCAGGGGUGCAAUGCGGCCAGCCUAGACCGAGGAACGCGCUUCGGCUCGGACGCUGGCAUAAUGGUUGUAAACGACCCGUCUUGAAACACGGACCAAGGAGUCUAACAUCUACGCGAGUGUUCGGGUGUCAAACCCGUGCGCGCAGUGAAAGCGAACGGAGGUGGGAGCCCCCUCGUGGGGCGCACCAUCGACCGAUCCUGAUGUCUUUCGGAUGGAUUUGAGUAAGAGCGUAAAUGUGGGGACCCGAAAGAUGGUGAACUAUGCCUGAAUAGGGCGAGCCAGAGAAACUCUGGUGGAGGCUCGCAGCGGUUCUGACGUGCAAUCGAUCGUCAA
rnacentral:ncRNA from 1 species